GGGUCGUAGCGGUUUAAUAAGUCAGUGGUGAAAGCCAUCGCUCAACGGUGGAACGGCCAUUGAUACUGUUAGACUUGAAUUAUUAGGAAGUAACUAGAAUAUGUAGUGUAGCGGUGAAAUGCUUAGAGAUUACAUGGAAUACCAAUUGCGAAGGCAGGUUACUACUAAUUGAUUGACGCUGAUGGACGAAAGCGUGGGUAGCGAACAGGAUUAGAUACCCUGGUAGUCCACGCCGUAAACGAUGGAUACUAGCUGUUGGAAGCAAUUUCAGUGGCUAAGCGAAAGUGAUAAGUAUCCCACCUGGGGAGUACGUUCGCAAGAAUGAAACUCAAAGGAAUUGACGGGGGCCCGCACAAGCGUGGGAGCAUGUGGUUUAAUUCGAUGAUACGCGAGGAACCUUACCAAGGCUUAAAUGUAGAUUGACCGGUUUGGAAACAGAUCUUUCGCAAGACAAUUUACAAGGUGCUGCAUGGUUGUCGUCAGCUCGUGCCGUGAGGUGUCAGGUUAAGUCCUAUAACGAGCGCAACCCCUGUUGUUAGUUGCCAGCGAGUCAUGUCGGGAACUCUAACAAGACUGCCAGUGCAAACUGUGAGGAAGGUGGGGAUGACGUCAAAUCAUCACGGCCCUUACGCUUGGGCUACACACGUGCUACAAUGGCCGGUACAGAGAGCAGCCACUGGGCGACCAGGAGCGAAUCUAUAAAACCGGUCACAGUUCGGAUCGGAGUCUGCAACUCGACUCCGUGAAGCUGAAUCGCUAGUAAUCGGAGUCAGCCAUGA
rnacentral:rRNA from 1 species